GAAUAUGAAGCGAUAUUAUUGCAUUUAGUUUCGACCUAACCUUAGGUAAUUUUACCCUUAUUCU
rnacentral:tRNA from 1 species